rnacentral:rRNA from 1 species
AUUGAACGCUGGCGGAAUGCUUUACACAUGCAAGUCGAACGGCAGCACGGGGCAACCUGGUGGCGAGUGGCGAACGGGUGAGUAAUACAUCGGAACGUGCCCAAUCGUGGGGGAUAACGUAGCGAAAGUUACGCUAAUACCGCAUACGAUCUACGGAUGAAAGCGGGGGAUCGCAAGACCUCGCGCGAAUGGAGCGGCCGAUGUCAGGAUUAGGUAGUUGGUGGGGUAAAGGCUCACCAAGCCGACGAUCUGUAGCUGGUCUGAGAGGACGACCAGCCACACUGGGACUGAGACACGGCCCAGACUCCUACGGGAGGCAGCAGUGGGGAAUUUUGGACAAUGGGCGCAAGCCUGAUCCAGCCAUUCCGCGUGCAGGAUGAA